AUGGUGGCACCCGCUGAAUCACGGGGGCUGUGUCUGCACGCUGCAGGGCAGGAGGCACUUGGUCUACUGUCGGGGAACUCACUCCUCAGGGCGCUGCCUGGCGCCCAGCCCUGGGGUCCGAGGGUCACAGCCCUGCCCGGGAGUCCUAGAAGAACCCCACCCCGGUUGGGUGCUGCGGCCAUUGGCCCCGUCCCACUGCGCGGGCCUGAAACGCACACACCUGAGGCGGGGGCUGAGAGGGGAGAGGUGCCCAGCCAAGGGGAUGCAGCGACCGGAGAGGCAGCAGGCCAGGCCACGUGGGCGUGGGCAGCACGGAAAGGUAAACCGAGGCCCAGAGUAGGCAGGGGCCGCGGAAUCACAGGGGGCGGGGACGGCCCUCCACCGCCCCCUGCCCCCAUUGAGGAAAAAGUUGAAUGGGAGGGGGCGGCCCCCGGAAGCCCGCAGGGAUGGAAACGCGGCUUCCAUAGCAACGUGCAGCGAACCGGGCCUGACGUCACCGUGGGGAGGGCGCCCCGCCCGCCCCCGUCCUUGCGUAAGGCGGCCCAGGCCCCGCCCCCCCGGGACGCCUCAUUGGUGGCCACAUCGUUCGCUCUUCCGCACGCACCAAUAGCCGCGCGGGGUUGCCGCCCGGAGGUGGGACUGCGGCGUGGCCCGGCUGAGUGCGCAGGCGCGGCGCGGCGCGGCGCGGAGGCGUGCGGCCCCCCUCCGGCCGCACGUCCGCAGUUUGGAGGCGGGAUGCGCGCCAAGGGGUCUGAUGCCUGCGGCAGCUCCGGGACGGAAGAGGGGGCGUACCCGGGGGCGCCGCACGUGCACCCCCCCCUUCUAAGCCGGGCCAUUGCCUGUUGCCCCCUCCCCACGACACCGUGUGCGCGAGCCCCGGGCUGGGGGGAGCGCAGGGCGAGGAGCAGGAGGAGGGCACUUGGGUUGAGGCCCUGCCAAAGGAAUAGGACUUUGCCAAGGAUAGGAAGAGGGAACUGGUGCCCCAGGUGUGGGGCAUGGCGUGUGCAAAUGUCUGAAGACGUGAAAGCGGGUGCAUUUGGGGAACAAUUGGGAAGUCAAUUUGGGGGGCCUAAGCCAAAAGGCGAAGGCAAGGACUCGAAAGGGGUGAUUCCUCAAGUCUGGCUUAGGGGGGGAAGAGAUGGGAACCCCAGAGAGGAGGGGCGGGUGGAGAGGGCAAAGGCCAGAACAUCCCAGGAGCUGUCUGGACGCUCUGCUUGGGCUUCGGAGAGGCCUGGGAAGGGACCGAUGGGGCAUUGUCUGAAGGUGGCCUCUGGUUCACAGUGA
rnacentral:lncRNA from 1 species